rnacentral:rRNA from 1 species
GCAGCCUACGGGACGCAGCAGUGAGGAAUAUUGGUCAAUGGGCGCGAGCCUGAACCAGCCAAGUCGCGUGAGGGAAGACGGUCCUAUGGAUUGUAAACCUCUUUUGCCGGGGAGCAAGCUGGGUCACGUGUGACCCAGCUGAGAGUACCCGGAGAAAAAGCAUCGGCUAACUCCGUGCCAGCAGCCGCGGUAAUACGGAGGAUGCGAGCGUUAAUCGGAAGUACUGGGUGUAAAGGGUGCGCAGGCGGUUGAGUAAGAAAGAUGUGAAAUCCCCGGGCUUAACUCGGGAAUGGGAUAGGUGACUG